UUGGACUUGUCGGGCAGCUCCACAGCGACAACAGGCUUGACCUGCAAGACAUCAAUAAGGAUUACUUUAAUCCUCUGUCCAGCAGGAUGGCUCUGAACUCCUCGUCCUCACACAGAUCUUAAAGCAACAUGGGUGCACCGGACAAGUGAGUGCUACAGUAUACUGUAAACAUACCAAUUGGAGUCUCCUCCAGGAAGGUCUUGGCAUUGAGACUGGCUCCGUG